GACGAACGCUGGCGGCAUGCCUAACACAUGCAAGUCUAGGGGUAGCAAUACCACUGGCGCACGGGUGAGUAACACGUAGGUUAUCUGCCCCCAUCACAGACAUAACCCCGGGAAACCGGGGCUAAUAUCUGAUGAGGUCGCGAGAUCAAAGCUUCGGCGGAUGGGGAUGAGCCUGCGGCUGAUUAGCUAGUUGGUGAGGUAAUGGCUCACCAAGGCGACGAUCAGUAGCUGGUUUGAGAGGACGAACAGCCACACUGGAACUGAGACACGGUCCAGACUCCUACGGGAGGCAGCAGUGAGGAAUAUUGGUCAAUGGGAGCAAUCCUGAACCAGCAAUGCCGCGUGUGGGAUGACAGGGCUUCGCCUUGUAAACCACUGUCGGACGGGACGAAAGGAGGCCUCGGGCCUCUGGGACGGUACCGUCGAAAGGAAGGGUCGGCUAACUACGUGCCAGCAG
rnacentral:rRNA from 1 species